rnacentral:rRNA from 1 species
GAUGAACGCUGACAGAAUGCUUAACACAUGCAAGUCAACUUGAACUUCGGUUUGGGUGGCGGACGGGUGAGUAACGCGUAAAGAACUUGCCUCACAGAUAGGGACAACAUUUGGAAACGAAUGCUAAUACCUGAUAUUAUGAUUAUAUGGCAUCGUAUAAUUAUGAAAGCUAUAUGCGCUGUGAGAGAGCUUUGCGUCCCAUUAGCUAGUUGGAGAGGUAACGGCUCACCAAGGCGAUGAUGGGUAGCCGGCCUGAGAGGGUGAUCGGCCACAAGGGGACUGAGACACGGCCCUUACUCCUACGGGAGGCAGCAGUGGGGAAUAUUGGACAAUGGACCAAGAGUCUGAUCCAGCAAUUCUGUGUGCACGAUGAAGUUUUUCGGAAUGUAAAGUGCUUUCAGUUGGGAAGAAAAGAAUGACGGUACCAACAGAAGAAGUGACGGCUAAAUACGUG